CCCUGCCAGGAGGUGGGAACCACUCCCUGAUCCUGCCUCCCACGGCUUUCCUGGCCUAGGCUUACUGCCGUUUCCUGUGUCAGUUUGUCACCUUCGGCCAGGAAGGUGCCUGGGACAGAAACUAGAGUAAGUCUUCUUGCGAAGUUUUCCCUGCUGCCUCUGCCUCUGCUUCCUGACCAUCCCCACUGCUUCCCCGUGUGGCCCCUCAGGGAAUGAGAUGACCCUCCUCUUGGGAACGGGGAAAUUCCAUUGCUUCGAGAGCCAGAAAAGGCUGAACAGUAUUUCCCCUCGACAAACAAGGCAUUGUCCUGGAAAUCUGGUCUUUCUUAACCCACCAGGUUUGCGUGUUCAGCUUCUCUGCUAAUUGUUUCUACUGGCAGUUUUCAAAGGAAUCAACAGGAAGAAUUCUGCAAAGUGAAACUGGGCAUUUGGUUAUAAAAUCUGGUGUGAAGGCAUCACGGUGUGCUUUUGGGAGAAUAUCAGAACAGCUCGCAACUUCACGAGCCAUUAACGAAGCUUACAUUCUCAAAACACAGGCAUAUUUCUUGACUAAGCACAG